rnacentral:rRNA from 1 species
AUUGAACGCUGGCGGCAUGCCUUACACAUGCAAGUCGAACGGUAACAGGUCUUCGGAUGCUGACGAGUGGCGAACGGGUGAGUAAUACAUCGGAACGUGCCCGAUCGUGGGGGAUAACGGAGCGAAAGCUUUGCUAAUACCGCAUACGAUCUACGGAUGAAAGCAGGGGACCGCAAGGCCUUGCGCGGACGGAGCGGCCGAUGGCAGAUUAGGUAGUUGGUGGGAUAAAAGCUUACCAAGCCGACGAUCUGUAGCUGGUCUGAGAGGACGAGCAGCCACACUGGGACUGAGACACGGCCCAGACUCCUACGGGAGGCAGCAGUGGGGAAUUUUGGACAAUGGGCGCAAGCCUGAUCCAGCCAUGCCGCGUGCAGGAUGAAGGCCUUCGGGUUGUAAACUGCUUUUGUACGGAACGAAAAGACUCUGGUUAAUACCUGGGGUCCAUGACGGUACCGUAAGAAUAAGCACCGGCUAACUACGUGCCAGCAGCCGCCGCCGUAA